ACUCAUUCGACUCAUAUUUAAUUAUAUUUUAUUGACUCCUUAUAUACAUGAAAAUUCCAUAAAGUUUCUUGAUUUAUUGAUCACCCAUCAAGUAUAAAGCAAAAAAGGAACUAGUGACCAGAGCCUUUGGGGCUGGGUCCUGAUGCUAGGCGUUCAAGCCAACAUGCCUUAGUAUUCUUUGCCUUCUCAUACACAGACGAAUAAGUCUCCAGAUGAUUUUCAGAGGCAAAAUCCUCCAGCAACAUCCUAGUCGCUUCUACGUUAACCUGGCAGAAAACAGCCAUCAAGAUAAAGAAAAUGGCUAGAACAGUGGUUGACUUGCUGCUGAAACUCACCAUCUUCUUCCAAAAUGAACUGCACUAAGUAGCUGCAGAGAAAAAUCAGAACUUUUCUAUAUACCCAGAAAGAGAGAGAGAGAGAGUUGUAUAGUGAUUGAUGAUGGUGUGGACUGGGAUGAGAGAAGAGAUGAGGUGGUUGGGGUAUUUAUAGUAAAAGUUUAGGACUUUGUGUUGCUACCUCGCUUUGAACGUAAAGCUUUUUGGUUGGCAAUUGGGAGGGAAUGUGUUGACCAAAUAUUUAUAUUGAAAUAGUCAUACUAUGCAACAUAACAAUCAGAAUAGGACUCGAUAUGUCAAGCUAAUAAUAUAAUUUUAUUUUUAUAAUUUUAAAAAUUAUUUAUUAUAUUUAUAUAUUUUUAAAAUUUUUAUGUUAAUUAAAAAACUAAAUUUUUUAUAUUUUAAAUUAUAAAAAAUAUAUUUUAUCAUUAAAAAUAAUAUAAUAUUAUAUUAUAUUAAGACUUAUUUGGUUUUUAACAAAAAUAUAAAAUUUUAAUUGAGUAAAAAUUUAAAUUAAAUUUAUUUAACCUUGGAAUAAAAAUAAAAAGAUUUAAUUAGAAUUAUUUCCAAUAGAUAAAUAGAAGUUUAUCAUGGAAAGAUAAUUAUAAUAAUUGAAUUUGUGUGAUAGAUGAAGCCUACAUAAAUUUUGUUAAUUAAUUUGAAUUAAAAAUUGAAUUUAAUAUUUCACAAUUUUGAAAAUAUCAUUGAACAAAUUAUAUAUAAUAACAUAUUUUUAUAAAUAAUUUAUUUUAUAUCAUAAAAUUAUUGCUAUUUUAAUUAAUUAAUAUGACAAAAAUUAAUUUAUGGGAUAAAAGAAUUUAUAUUAUUUACAUUUUUUUUCAGACAAUAUAUAGCGAACCUAUUAACAACGCAGUUAUGUUUUGAUUCUAAAACAAAAAGGAAAGCAGUAUCUUUUACUUUCUAUGACUUUCUUAUGUAAAUGAAAAAUCCAGCAUCUACCUAUCACCCAUCAAGAACACAGACAAAACCCGAACUAGUGACCAGGGCCUUUGUGGCUAGGGCCUGAGGCUAGACUUUCAAGCCAACAUGCCAUGGUAUUCUUUGCUUUCUCAUACACCAAUGAAUAAGUCUCUAGAUGAUUUUCAGUGGCAAAAUCCUCUUGCAAUACCCUAGUUGCCUCCACUCUAACUUGACGUAAAACAGCCACCAAGAUAAAGAAAAUAACCAGAACAGUGGUUGACUUGCUGCUGAAACUCAUCAUCUUCUUCCAAAAUGCAAUGCACCAAGUAGCUGCAAAGAUAAAAACAAAACUUUUUUGUAUACCCUGAAAGAGAUCUAGAGAGAGAGAGCUUCUGCUAGAGUUGUUGAGCUUCUGGGAAUGAGGAAUCUUGUCUUUGAGUGGAAGUAUCUGAUUUUGAAUUCCCAUGCAUAUAUAUAUUUUUUGUUAAGUAGCAAGAGGCCGCAGGGAAGCAAAACAUGUAGCAACAGCGGAAGCAAUUUGGGAGGAAGACAGGGACAAGAAGAGGAAUUUAGGGAGAGUGAUUAGAGGAGAUCGAGAUCAAGGAAAACAAGCACUAACGAUUGGCUACACAUAACAUGGUGGUCCUCCAAACUUCGAACAUGAAGCAAAGCAGGGACAGUUAAUUGAGGAAAUUAAGGAAGAGCGAUCCUCUAAUAACAGAGCAGAAGAAAACAAAGGAAUUUAAAGAAUUCUUUUAUGUACCUGGCAAGAAAAGCUGGAGGCAACUAAAAUACUGCCACUACUACUACUAAACUAUAUUUAAAGCAAUUUUGGCAAAUUAUUAUGUUAUAUAUUUAAAUUUAAUUAUAAAAAAUAAUAAUUUAUAGAUUGUUGCAUUCCAUAAAUAAAAAAUAGGUUAAAAUUAUAAUUUUAUUUAAUAUAAAAUAAAUCAUUUAUUAAAAUAUAUUAUUAUAUUUUAUAAUAAUUUUAAAUUUUUAGCGAAAUAUAAACUCGCAAUUUACAUAAAUUUUAAAAUUAUAGAUCCCAUAUUUUUUUUAUUUUUCAUUUUUAAUUGUUUCUAAAAUAAUGUAUAUUUUUUUUAUAUUAUAAUAAUAUAUAAAUUAAAUAUUAUUAAGAGUGAGCAAAUCGAAAAAAUUGAUCAAACAAAAUUAUUUUGAAAAUUUAAUUCGAUUUUUUAUUCAUUUCGAUUUGAUUCGAUUUAUAAAUUUAAAAAUUUUAAUUAUUUCAUUCGGUUUAAUUUUUAUCAAAAAAAAUCAAAAAAAUCGAAUCAAACUGAUUAGUAAUAAUAAUAUAUUAUUUUCAAUAAUAUAGAUAUAUUAGAUCAUAAUAAAAUUAAAAUAUUUCAAUUAAAUUUUAAAAUAUUAAAAAUAAAUUGGAAAAAAUAAAAAAAUUUAAAUUAAAUUGAAUCGAACUAACCGAUUCAGUUCGAUUCAAUUGCUAACCAAAUCGAUUCAGUUCAAUUUUCAUAAAUACUAAAAUUUUAAAUUGAACCGACCGAAUGGUCCACUUAUAUUAUAAUUUUAUUUAAUAUUAUUUUAUUUUUAAAAAAUUUUAAAAAUAUUUUUUAAUAUAUAAUAAAAUUUAAUAAUUUUAAUUUGUUAUCUUAUUUUUAAUAAACUUCUCAAAGUUGACCUAGUAAAGGCAAACUGAGUCUUCAAUUCUAAUACAGCUUUUGUGAGAAAAGGACCGAAAAGAUAACGGAGUCACGCAAAAACAAGAACACACGACAACAAUUUAAUAUACGUGUCUUAAUUGAAUAUGCCAAACGGUAGUUUAAUUCGAUUAAUCUAUUAAGGACCUAUUUAGUAUAAUUGUUAAAUAUUACUCAUAAUUGAUAUAUUUUAAAUAUUUGAUAAAUUAUAUUUAAUUAUUAUUAUUAUUAAUAUGUAAAAUAAUUAAUAAAAAUAUAUCUCAAUUCAUUAUAUUAACGAAUAAAUAUAAAAAUAUUAAUUUAUUAUAUAACAUAUAGUAAUUAAAAUAUAUAAUUUUUACAAUAAAUUAAUAUUUUUAUUUUUAUCUUAUUAAUAUAAUAAAUUAAUAUAUACUUUUAUUAAUUAUUUUAUAUACCAAUAAUAAUAAUUAAAUAUAAUUUAUGAAAUAUUUAAUAUCAAUCAUCAACUAUUAAUUACAAUCAAUUAUUAGCUAUCAGUUAGAUUCGGUAGCUAAACUAAACGGUUCCGUACAGACUUUUCCAAUGACUUCCUUCUUUUAGCUAAUCACGAGUCUCCUCGAUGACGGAUCUACUUAUUGGGUAAGGGGCCAUGACCCACUAAAUUUUUUUUAAAAUGUUAUAAGGGUAUUUAUAUAAUUUUUGUUAAUUUUAAAUAAAUAAAUAAAAUUAUUAUUCAGUGUUUAAAUUUUUUAAAAAAUUUAUUAAUUUAUUCUAUUUAAAAAUUAUUUAAUUAAAAUAUUUUUAUAUUUAAAAAAAUAAAUUUUUUAAUUUUUAUAAAUUUAUUAACAUAUUUUUAAAUAUUUUAUAUUAUUUAAUUCAUAUAAUUUUAAUUAUAUGUAUCAUUUAUUUUAUACAUUUAAAUAUUUAUAUUUUUUUAUUAAAAAUAAAACAAAUGGACUAUCAGUUACUUUAACUAAACAAUUUAAUUUUAUAAAAUAUAUGAAUAUUUUAAUUGAAUUGUUUUUAUAAAAAUAAAAAUUACUAAAAUUUUUAAAAAUUCAAGAGUUUAAUAAUAAUUCUCUUAUAAAUAAAGUCUAAUACCAAUAUAAUUUUAAAGCGGCCAUUCUAAUUUAUAUUUUUUUUUAUUUAAUUUAAAAAGUUUAUGUUUAAUUUUUAAGAUUUUAACUUCACGUGUUUUGCUUAAUUUUUUUUAUUUUUAAAAUAUUUAUAAGGUAAAUUAUUCAUUAAUUAUUUAAUUUAUUAAUUUAAUAUAUACAAAAUUUAAUAACCGUUGAAAUUAAACCAUUAAACACUUAGAAUUAUAAAAAUUAUGAUAAUUAAAUAUAAAUUAACCAUUUAUUAAAAAAAUAUUAAAUUAAUCACAUAUAUUAUUAAUUACGCUCUAAAUUUAUUGAUUGUAUUUUAAAUUUUUAUAAAUUGACAAAAUUAAGCGAUAAUAAUUUUAUUAUAUUUUAAAUUUAAAAAAUCUUAAAUAUAAAUCAAAACAUUAAAAUUAAAUAGUGUUUUUUAACAAAUAAUAGUUUAGGCAACUUAAAUUAAAAAAAUUUAAAAAUUUAUACUCAAUAUUUAAUAUGAUCAAAUUAAUUUAACUUGUAAAAUUUUAUGUAUGUAAUUUUUUUUAUUUCUUUACUUAAAAUUAAAUUUUAUUUUGAAAAUUUUAUACAUGUAGAUAAAUAUUUUUUAUAAAUCAAAUAAAAUUAAAAUUUUUGCUGAAAAAAUAAAAUUUCUAUUUGCUAGUUAAUUUCUAUUUGCACUAGUCAUAAAUAGACUUGGCCACAAUCCUGUUUGGACCAUAAAUCGGUUUAAAAUCGGCUCAAAACCGAACUGGUCAAUCAGUUUUGAUUUUUAAAUUAGACUAAAACUUUAUAUUAAGGAGCUUAUUAUGAAUUCUCUAUUCUGAGACUGUAAAUACAAAUUAGCUCCAUCAAUUGAAUGCUCUCUGGUUAUUAGUCAAUAUGAACGAAUUGAAAUAAGAAAAAUACUUAUCUGAAUCCGGUUCACCAUAAACCAAAAUAUCUCUAAAAUACAAAUAAGAGAAUCAUAGUCUACUCCAUGACAGAUAAUUGGAUCCAAUUAGGGCGAAGAGCACUUAUAAAUAUUAUUCUCAAAUUGGUUUUGAGUUAUCAAAAAUCAUGGCUCCAAUUAGGGGUGAGCAGUAUUCGGUUCAAACCGAAAAAACCGACCGAAUCGAAUCGAAUUGAAAAUUUAGUUCGAUUUUUUAUAUAUUUUGGUUCGGUUCGGUUUUUAAUUUCAGAAAUUUUGAUUAUUUUGGUUCAGUUCGGUUUUGAUCAGAAAAAAAUCGAAAAAAUCAAACCGAACCGAUUAGUGAUAAUAAUAGGUUUUUUCAAUAAUAUAGAAAAAUUAAAUUAUAUUAAGAUUAAAAAUUUUUAAUUAAAUUUUAAAAUACUAAAAAUAAAGUGUAAAAAAUUAAAAAAAAAUUAUUAAAAAUGGAAACCGAUCAAAACCGAACCGAAUCGAACCGAAUCAGACCGGUUCGGUUCGAUUCGGUUUCUGAUCAGAAUCGAUUCGGUUCGGUUUUUAUAAAUACUAAAAUUUCGAUUUUCAAUUUAUUCGGUUCAGUUCAAUUUUAAACUGAACCGACCGAAUGCUCACCCCUAGCUCCAAUCCCUUGAUACGUAACUCUAUCUCUAUUAAUAACUGUUCUCACCAUUUUUAUAUAUAUGAUACUCCGCAGUUUCAGUAUUUUGAGAUUCAAUAAAAGAUUAAGCAAAUUGUAAACUAGCCUGUGUUUGAUACCAUGUAAAAAAGGUGGUGAUAUUAGAGUUUAUGAAUAUCUCUAGUGUAACUAUACAAGUGAGAUUGCUAUGAUACCACGUCGAAUAUUAGAGAAAACAAAGAAAGAAAGAAAAUUAUAGUUCUUGUUUGGUUCAAAUUGGUCCCUAAGUAAACUUUUCAGCCUCCCUUAUAUUUACUUUUAGCACUGGUUACGUAAGUUUUAAGGGUUAUAGCUGAUUAGGUUUAAAUUUGUCAAUGGGUAGUGAUUAGAGAGCUACUGUGGCAAUAGGUUUAAAUUUAAUGAAAGAAGUUAAUGUUAGGGUACAAAUAACUUAAUGAAUAUAAUUAAUUUAGGGUAGAUCUAUUAUGAAAAUUAGAGAGUAAAAUCAUUUAAAAAAUAAUAAAUUUAGGAUUUUUUUUUCUUUUUUGCUAUUAUUCCUUUUAAAAUAAAAUAAUUCUAUAUUAAAUGUAAGCUAACCGUUACAUAAAUAACUAUAAACGCUUGUUGGUUGUGCUAUAGAAAAAUUCUCAUACUCGUUCGACUCAUAAUUAAUUAUAUUUUAUUGACCGAAUACACAAAUAUCAUAUUUGUAUGAGAAAUUUAUGCGAGUUCAUAAGAAAAUUCUUAAAAAAAAUAUAAAUAGGGUCCGCAUUAUUCCGUUUAAAUAAAAAAACCGAUUGAAUUGAAUUAAUUUAAAAUUUUAGUUUGAUUGUUUAUUAAUUUCGAUUCGGUUUGAUUUUUAAUUUCAAAAAUUUCAGUUAUUUCAAUUCGAUUCGAUUUUGAUCAGAAAAAAAUCAAAAAAAUUAAAUCGAACUGAUUAGUGAUAAUAAUAUAUUAUUUUCAAAUACUAUAGAGAAAUUAAAUUAUAUUAAAAUUAAAAUAUUUUAAUUAAAUUUUAAAAUAUUAAAAUAUAAAAAAUAAAAAAUUUAUUAAAUCGAACUGAAUUAGAUCGGUUUAGUUCGAUUCAAUUUUUAAUUAAAAUUGAUUCGGUUUGAUUUUUAUAAAUACUAAAAUCGGUUUAAUUCGAUUCAAUUUUUAAUUAAAAUUGAUUCGGUUUGAUUUUUAUAAAUACUAAAAUUUCAAUUUCCAGUUUAUUUAGUUUAGUUCGGUUUUGAACACUCUAACAUAAAAUCUAACAAUAUUAUGUGAAAUAAAUGAAUAAUAUAUGUGUUUUAUUUACAUUUUUUUUUCCAGAUAUGAAAAAGUUAUUACAACACAAGUAUAUUUUGAUUCUAAAACAAAUUAAGAAACUAACAAAGAACAAAAGAAAGCAAUGACUAAUUUCCUUUCCUUUGAUUUCGUUAUAUAGAUGAAAAUUCCUUAAAGUUUCUUGCUUUAUCGAUCACCCAUCAAGAAUAAAGCCAAAAAGGAACUAGUGACCAGGGCCUCUGGGGCUGGGUCCUGAUGCUAGGCGUUCAAGCCAACAUGCCAUAGUAUUCUUUGCCUUCUCAUACACAGACGAAUAAGUCUCCAGAUGAUUUUCAGAGGCAAAAUCCUCCAGCAACAUCCUAGUCGCUUCUACGUUAACCUGGCAGAAAACAGCCACCAAAAUAAAGAAAAUGGCUAGAACAGUGGUUGACUUGCUGCUGAAACUCAUCAUCUUCUUCCAAAAUGAACUGCACUAAGUAGCUGCAGAGAAAAAUCAGAACUUUUCUGUAUACCCAGAAAGAGAGAGAGAGAGAGAGAGAGUUGUUUAGUGAUUGAUGAUGAAUGUGGACUG
rnacentral:lncRNA from 1 species